UGUGAAAUAAAAUAUCACCGGCAAUCACAGACAUUCGCGUUCGGACGGGAUUAGUUUUCUCAGAGGAUCACUGAGUUUGCUGAAAAACGGAGGUGUGGUUAUUGGUGACAGACAUGGGUGCUAGUUGGACACAAAGCUGGAAGGAGGAGUUCAAAGUUCACAAACUCCACCUUCUCACCUCUAAACCAGAGCUGCUGCUUCAGCCACGGUGGGAUAUUCCUCCAUUGUUGUGGCUUCUGUACAGAUGUUUUAUGCUGGUCUACACCUUCAGCUGGUUUAUCUACACGGCUCUUCUCUUCAACACACCUAAAUUCCUCAUUUUUCUCAGCCAUAUCUCAUACUGUCUUAUGGUUAUCUACGAUCUGGUUUCUCUCUGUAAUCUGGCCUGGGCUUUCUUGGAAAUCAGAUG